UACGUAGGGGGCUAGCGUUGUCCGGAUUUAUUGGGCGUAAAGAGCGUGCAGGCGGCCAGACAGGUCCGUUGUGAAAACUGGAGGCUAACCUCCAGACGUCGAUGGAAACCGUCUGGCUAGAGUCCGGAAGAGGAGAGUGGAAUUCCUGGUGUAGCGGUGAAAUGCGCAGAUAUCAGGAAGAACACCCGUGGCGAAAGCGGCUCUCUGGGACGGUACUGACGCUGAGACGCGAAAGCGUGGGGAGCGAACAGG
rnacentral:rRNA from 1 species